UAGUGGGAAACGCGUCUCUCUAUUCUUCGUUCGAUGUCUUCUUCAUCUUUUUAACAGAAAUAAGAUGUUGCCAGGUGGUGGCAAUAUAAAUCUGUCGGGAGGGGAUGCUAGCGACCUUGAAAAGCGUCAGAUAAGACAAAACUACCGGUCCUUGAUUGAAGAACUCAACGCCAACAAAGAGGAUCUUAUCAACCCAUCUUCUGAUGCUUUGGACGCUCAACUCAGUAAAGCUGAAUUAUAUUCCAAACCUGUGUUUGGAUCGACCAACAUUCGAACGCGAGAAGCUGCUCUCGAUUCUUACGCUCUGAACCUAAUCUCCGGCCUCGGCAAACAGAAAGCUCAGGCCCUCAAUACAGAAUUCAUCAGGUUCCAACCGUUGGAGUAUACCGACAAACUGAAGAACAGUCUCGGUUCGGAACAUUUGGAGUCGCUCGAUGGAGAACGUAUGGUUGUGUCUCGAUCCGGGUGGAUUACCAUGGGACAAGAAUGCAGCUAUUUGUUCGCCCGUUUCACCCCUCUGCAUCUUUUAUACGGUUCGUUUGACCCGGGGGUCGUUAAAAUGCACAAACACAUCAACCGUAGACCACGAGACAAGGAAAAUUCAUCGGAAAAGGCGACUGUUCCGAAACAGAUAUCGAAAUUCGGAGACAUUGAAAAAAAUGAAGCGACUACAGAGGAAGUAGAGCGAGUGUUGAAAUGUCUUCGGGAUAACCACAGCGUUGAAGGUAAAGAACCAAUCUGCUAUUUCCGUUUCGUUGUUAACCCGGAUUCGUUUGGCCAAACGGUCGAAAACAUCUUCCAUGUUUCUUUUCUGGUGCGCGAUGGACUUGCUAAAGUUUACCUGGACAGAGACAAUUUACCGGUCAUCGAACCGGUAAGUUUGGAGGAGAAUAAAACUCAAGAAAGCACGAAGCGUACCCGUCAGUGUGUCAUCUCUAUAUCUCCAGCUGAAUGGCGGGCAAUUAAAAAAACCUUCGACCUCCGAACUGCAAUGAUCCCAUCAAGAACGCCUCAUGAAACGAAUAGAUCCCAAAUGACUGCUGCUAUCAUUCCUUCUCCUACAACAUCAUCGACCACAAAAACAUCAUCAUCAUCUGCGACAGGUAGAAGCAGAAGAUAAUCACAAAAUUACCAUUAACAGACUCCCUUUUUUUUUUUUUUUUGGUAUUAUUAUUAUUUUUUUUCUUUCUGUUUUUAAUUUUCAGUAGUGACAUUUUAUCAAAUGGGUCCAAAGACUGCAUCUUAAACUCCUUUGCAAAAGGAACAGCUUGAUGUAUUGGUGAACAGUCAAUGGCGUUGGAGAGCAUGCUGUUGGAAGGUCAUAUGUGUGGCAGCAGGAGUUGGUUCCUUACCAUCCCAGAAAGAGUCAGACAUAAUUGUCAGAGAAUUUCUACAACUUCCCUGGCACCAAUUUCCUAGAUUGUCAUCCCAUGGAUUUCUAUGUGUGAGAUGCAGAGGUAAAAGACACCAACUGCUCUGCUUGCAACACUAAAGCCAAGCUGGAGGCCAAGAUCAAAGAGGUAUUCAAAGAUCUUCACAGGGACACAGUGAGGAAUACUUGCAACAAGUUCUGGGGCUGUCUUGAAGCUGUGGGGGAAGCUAUGGGGUGUCUACUUUAAAUAAAAUGCUUUUCAAAUCUAGUUGAUAUUUUUGGAGUUUUUAAAAUACCGUUUUUUUAUAGAAUAUUGUUUUGUUUUCCUUUUAAGCAAACAGUCAAAUUUAGCUCAAACUCCUUGUACACACACAUCACACACAUAAACACACACACUCACAAACACACACACACAUACACACAUUCUCAGAAACCA
rnacentral:misc_RNA from 1 species